rnacentral:rRNA from 1 species
UAGGGAAUCUUCGGCAAUGGGGGCAACCCUGACCGAGCAACGCCGCGUGAGUGAAGAAGGUUUUCGGAUCGUAAAGCUCUGUUGUAAGAGAAGAACGUGUGUGAGAGUGGAAAGUUCACACAGUGACGGUAACUUACCAGAAAGGGACGGCUAACUACGUGCCAGCAGC